UGCGUAACGCGUAUGCAACCUACCAUCAACAGGGGGAUAACACUGAGAAAUUGGUACUAAUACCCCAUAAUAUCUCAUGCGGCAUCGCAUGGGGUUGAAAACUCCGGUGGUUGAUGAUGGGCAUGCGUUGUAUUAGCUGGUUGGUGAGGUAACGGCUCACCAAGGCGACGAUACAUAGGGGGACUGAGAGGUCAACCCCCCACAUUGGUACUGAGACACGGACCAAACUCCUACGGGAGGCAGCAG
rnacentral:rRNA from 1 species